rnacentral:rRNA from 1 species
UACGGAGGGGGCAAGCGUUGUCCGGAUUUACUGGGCGUAAAGGGCGCGUAGGCGGUCUGUUAAGCGUGAUGUGAAAUCUCCAGGGCUCAACCCGGAAACUGCAUUGCGAACUGGCAGACUUGAGGAAGGUAGAGGUGAGUGGAAUUCCUGGUGUAACGGUGACAUGUGUAGAUAUCAGGAGGAACACCGAUGGCGAAGGCAGCUCACUGGGCCUUUCCUGACGCUGAGGCGCGAAAGCGUGGGUAGCAAACAGA